GAUGAAGAACGUAGCGAAAUGCGAUAAGUAAUGUGAAUUGCAGAAUUCCAGUGAAUCAUCGAAUCUUUGAACGCACAUUGCGCCCUUUGGUAUUCCUUAGGGCAUGCCUGUUCGAGCGUCAUUUAAACCUUCAAGCUAAGCUUGGUGUUGGGUGACUGUCCGCUUCACGGCGGACUCGCCUCAAAAUUAUUGGCGGCCGGUACAUUGGCUUCGAGCGCAGCAGAAACGCGAACUCGGGCCCGUCGUAUUGGCUCCCAGAAGCUAUCUUCACAAUUUUGACCUCGGAUCAGGUAGGGAUACCCGCUGAACUUAAGCAUAUCAAUAAGCGGAGGA
rnacentral:misc_RNA from 1 species